UACGAAGGGGGCUAGCGUUGUUCGGAUUUACUGGGCGUAAAGCGCACGUAGGCGGACUAUUAAGUCAGGGGUGAAAUCCCGGGGCUCAACCCCGGAACUGCCUUUGAUACUGGUAGUCUUGAGUUCGAGAGAGGUGAGUGGAAUUCCGAAUGUAGAGGUGAAAUUCGUAGAUAUUCGGAGGAACACCAGUGGCGAAGGCGGCUCACUGGCUCGAUACUGACGCUGAGGUGCGAAAGCGUGGGGAGCAAACAGG
rnacentral:rRNA from 1 species